rnacentral:rRNA from 1 species
UAGAGUUUGAUCUGGCUCAGAACGAACGCUGGCGGCGUGGAUAAGACAUGCAAGUCGAACGGGGCAAUGUUUGUAGUAAUAUGAAUGUUGUUCAGUGGCGAACGGGUGCGUAACACGUGGAUACAUUCCGGGAAGCGGGGGAUAGCCCAGGGAAACUUGGAUUAAUACCGCAUGUGGUCGAAAGACUAAAGACGGGGAUCGAAAGACCUGUCACUUCCCGAUUGGUCUGCGGCCUAUCAGCUAGUUGGCGGGGUAAAAGCCCACCAAGGCGACGACGGGUAGCUGGUCUUAGAGGACGACCAGCCACACUGGAACUGAGACACGGUCCAGACACCUACGGGUGGCAGCAGUCGAGAAUCUUUCACAAUGGGGGCAACCCUGAUGGAGCGACGCCGCGUGGAGGAUAAGGUCUUCGGAUUGUAAACUCCUGUCAUGCGUGAACAAGGCUACUUGGAUAAUACCUGGGUAGAUUGAUGGUAGCGCAAGAGGAAGAGACGGCUAACUCUGUGCCAGCAGCCGCGGUAAUACAGAGGUCUCAAGCGUUGUUCGGAAUCACUGGGCGUAAAGGGUGCGUAGGUGGCAUGGUAAGUCAGAUGUGAAAGCCCAGGGCUCAACCUUGGAAUUGCAUCCGAUACUGCUGUGCUAGAGUACUGGAGGGGUGACUAGAAUUCUCGGUGUAGCAGUGAAAUGCGUAGAUAUCGAGAGGAAUACCAAAGGCGUAGGCAGGUCACUGGACAGUUACUGACACUGAGGCACGAAGGCCAGGGGAGCGAACGGGAUUAGAUACCCCGGUAGUCCUGGCAGUAAACGGUGCAUACUUGGUGUGGGAAGAUUCGACCCUUCCUGUGCCGGAGCUAACGCGUUAAGUAUGCCGCCUGGGAAGUACGGUCGCAAGAUUAAAACUCAAAGAAAUUGACGGGGACCCGCACAAGCGGUGGAGUAUGUGGCUUAAUUCGAUGCA